rnacentral:rRNA from 1 species
AUUAAAGUUGCUGCAGUUAAAAAGCUCGUAGUUGGAUCUGGGUAGUGCGAUCGCAUGCUGUUGCUUGUUCACGGUCUUGGUUACGAUCAGGGCAGUGGUCAGCUCGGCGUAGUGGUUGUGCAACCUUUCAGCCGUGUCUGUGUUUUAUUAAACAGGUGUCGAUGGGUUAAUGAGUAUUGUAUCUUAUUGACCUGUUGGCAUGCUUUCGGAUGCCUUUAAACGGGUGUCGGGGGCGGACGGCAUCUUUACUUUGAACAAAUUUGAGUGCUCAAAGCAGGCCUAUGCGCCUGAAAAUUCUUGCAUGGAAUAAUGAAAUAGGACUUCGGUUCUAUUUUGUUGGUUUUCGGAUCCGAAGUAAUGGUUAAGAGGGACAGACGGGGGCAUUUGUAUGGCGGUGUUAGAGGUGAAAUUCUGGGAUCGCCGCCAGACAAACUACAGCGAAAGCAUUUGCCAAGAAUGUUUUCAUUGAUCAGGAGCGAAAGUCAGAGUUUCGAAGACGAUCAGAUACCGUCGUAGUUCUGACCAUAAACGAUGCCAACUGACGAUCCGCGUUGGUUCUAUAAUUGACAUCGCGGGCAGUCCCCGGGAAACCUUUAAGUCUUUGGGCUCCGGGGGGAGUAUGGUUGCAAAGCUGAAACUUAAAGGAAUUGACGGAAGGGCACCACCAGGAGUGGAGCCUGCGGUUUAAUUCGACUCAACACGGGAAAACUCACCCGGCCCGGACACUGUGAGGAUUGACAGAUUGAAAGCUCUUUCUUGAUUCGGUGGUUGGUGGUGCAUGGCCGUUCUUAGUUGGUGGAGCGAUUUGUCUGGUUAAUUCCGAUAACGAACGAGACUUUAACCUACUAAAUAGUAGACUGGUCCUCUGUGCUCGUUCAGGGCGCGGCUUCUACUGCUUCUUUAUGGAGUAGUGUGGUCGUGAUCCGACGGGUGCGGUGCCAGUUUUUACUUCUUAGAGGGACAAGCGGCACACUUAAGUCGCACGAAAUUGAGCAAUAACAGGUCUGUGAUGCCCUUAGAUGUCCGGGGCCACACGUGCGCUACAAUGACGGUGCCAGCGAGCCUGGAAACCUGGGCCGAAAGGGGUGGGCAAACUGUUUCAUCACCGUCGGGACUGGGAUCGGGGGCUUGCAAUUAUUCCCCCGUGAACGAGGAAUUUCCUGGUAAGUGCAAGUCAUAAGCUUGCGCUGAUUACGUCCCUGCCCUUUGUACACACCGCCCGUCGCUACUACCGAUUGAAUGGUUUAGUGAGGUCGUUGGAUUGGUGUCGUUGUAGUGGCUUUAUCGCUGCUCGACUGAUAUCGAGAAGACGACCUAAUUUGACUAUUUAGAGGAAGUAAAAGUCGUAACAAGGUUUCCGUAGGUGAACCUGCGGAAG